CGUUUGCCUCACUGCCGUCGGAAACAUGACUUCACUGCGGAUUAGCACCACAGUCAACUCACUUCGCUUCAGGUCUUAAAGAGAGCUAAGCGGUACCCAGAAAACUUCCUUACACACCUGUCCUCAGGCAGUAAAGGCCCUCCCUGGUGGUGCAGCGGGUUGAAGCACAACACUAAG